rnacentral:rRNA from 1 species
UACGGAGGGUGCGAGCGUUGUCCGGAAUCACUGGGCGUAAAGGGCGCGUAGGCGGCGCGGAUAGUCGGCGGUGAAAGCCCGGAGCUCAACUCCGGGUCGGCCGUCGAUACUUCCGGGCUUGAGCACUGUAGAGGCAGAUGGAAUUCCGGGUGUAGCGGUGGAAUGCGUAGAGAUCCGGAAGAACACCGGUGGCGAAGGCGGUCUGCUGGGCGAGUUGCUGACGCUGAUGCGCGACAGCGUGGG